GGUAUGGCUGUUCGCCAUUUAAAGUGGUACGCGAGCUGGGUUUAGAACGUCGUGAGACAGUUCGGUCCCUAUCUGCCGUGGGCGCUGGAGAAUUGAGGGGGGCUGCUCCCAGUACGAGAGGACCGGAGUGGACGCAUCACUGGUGUUCGGGUUGUCAUGCCAAUGGCACUGCCCGGUAGCUAAAUGCGGAAGAGAUAAGUGCUGAAAGCAUCUAAGCACGAAACUUGCCCCGAGAUGAGUUCUCCCUGAGACUAUAAGUCUCCUGAAGGAACGUUGAAGACGACGACGUUGAUAGGCCGGGUGUGUAAGCGCAGCGAUGCGUUGAGCUAACCGGUACUAAUGAACCGUGAGGCUUAACCUU
rnacentral:rRNA from 1 species